AUCGACGGCGCGGUUUGGCACCUCGAUGUCGGCUUAUCACAUCCUGGGGCUGGAGAAGGUCCCAAGGGUCCGGCUGUUCGCCGGUUAAAGUGGUACAUGAGCUGGGUUCAGAACGUCGUGAGACAGUUCGGUCUGUAUCCGUCGUGGGCGUUGGAGAGUUGAGGGAAGCGGACUUUAGUACGAGAGGACCGAGUCGGACGACCCGCUCGUGUCCCGGUUGUCCCGCCAGGGGCAACGCCGGGUAGCGAUGGUCGGUCGUGAUAACCGCUGAAUGCAUCUAAGUGGGAAGCACCUCCCAAGAUGAACUCUCCCGGGGCUUCGAGCCCCCUGAAGGGCCGGGGUAGACCACCCCGUCGAUAGGCCGCCCGUGGAAGCGUCGCAAUACGCUCCGAGCGCAGCGGUCCUAAUCGCCCGUGCGGCUUGACUAC
rnacentral:rRNA from 1 species